rnacentral:rRNA from 1 species
AAUCCAUAGGUUAAUGAGGCGAACCGGGGGAACUGAAACAUCUAAGUACCCCGAGGAAAAGAAAUCAACCGAGAUUCCCCCAGUAGCGGCGAGCGAACGGGGAGGAGCCCAGAGCCUGAAUCAGCAUGUGUGUUAGUGGAAGCGUCUGGAAAGGCGCGCGAUACAGGGUGACAGCCCCGUACACAAAAGCGCAUGUGCUGUGAGCUCGAUGAGUAGGGCGGGACACGUGGUAUCCUGUCUGAAUAUGGGGGGACCAUCCUCCAAGGCUAAAUACUCCUGACUGACCGAUAGUGAACCAGUACCGUGAGGGAAAGGCGAAAAGAACCCCGGCGAGGGGAGUGAAAAAGAACCUGAAACCGUGUACGUACAAGCAGUGGGAGCACAGGUUUACCUGUGUGACUGCGUACCUUUUGUAUAAUGGGUCAGCGACUUAUAUUCUGUAGCAAGGUUAACCGAAUAGGGGAGCCGGAGGGAAACCGAGUCUUAAUUGGGCGUUAAGUUGCAGGGUAUAGACCCGAAACCCGGUGAUCUAGCCAUGGGCAGGUUGAAGGUUGGGUAACACUAACUGGAGGACCGAACCGACUAAUGUUGAAAAAUUAGCGGAUGACCUGUGGCUGGGGGUGAAAGGCCAAUCAAACCGGGAGAUAGCUGGUUCUCCCCGAAAGCUAUUUAGGUAGCGCCUCGUGAAUUCAUCUCCGGGGGUAGAGCACUGUUUCGGCUAGGGGGCCAUCCCGGCUUACCAACCCGAUGCAAACUGCGAAUACCGGAGAAUGUUAUCACGGGAGACACACGGCGGGUGCUAACGUCCGUCGUGAAGAGGGAAACAACCCAGACCGCCAGCUAAGGUCCCAAAGUCAUGGUUAAGUGGGAAACGAUGUGGGAAGGCCCAGACAGCCAGGAUGUUGGCUUAGAAGCAGCCAUCAUUUAAAGAAAGCGUAAUAGCUCACUGGUCGAGUCGGCCUGCGCGGAAGAUGUAACGGGGCUAAACCAUGCACCGAAGCUGCGGCAGCGACACUGUGUGUUGUUGGGUAGGGGAGCGUUCUGUAAGCCUGCGAAGGUGG